UCUCUCUUUUGCAUCUUUUCCUUCCCCCUCCCUCUAGGCUGUUGGAAACCGAGAGGAAAUUGAUGCAACAGCUUGAGUGUUGAGUAGCUAUGGGGCUACCCGAGCAAAGAGAGCAGUUAAAGAAAAGUGAGAACUCGAGGAAGUUCAAAUAGAAGCUGAAAGUAAUUUGAGAGAGAGAGAGAGAGAGAGAGAGAGAGAGAGAGAGAUUUGGUGAAAUACCUAAGCCAAGUGGCUGAUUUGGAGCUUCGGGCUGAGUGGAGCUACCAAAUUGGGGUUGCAGCUGAAGGAGAGUAUCCCUGCUGUGGGAGCUAUCUAGUAGGAGAAUUGGGCCUUUUGAAUUGAGAGUGAUCUAGAGAAUUAUCAAAUAAAGGUAAAGUGUACCUAAUAGAUAAUGAUAGUUUAACUAAUUUCAUUAAAAGUGAGUUACAAUUAGAGGAUUGUUGCUGCAGUGAGCAGAUUAAGUUGGAUUCGGGCUGUUGGGAUUGCCAAAGUGAGGACCCAAUUGUGAAGCUGCUGCAGCUUCAAGAAUCUCUGGGCACCCAGACUCAAAGAGGGAGUAGAGGAUUGACAGCUUCCUAGUUAAUCGAGCUGGAGGAGUUCGAAAGUGAGGUUGACGACGCGCUAAUUACGAUUGAGGCCGUUCUAGUUUCAUUUAUACUGAGUCGCGAGAGAUAGUUGUCGACGCAUUUCGAGACGUUGAUCUUAGUUGAUUGACACCACUACAGGUUCCAGUGCGAGCGGUGUAGCCGAGGAUCGUGGCAAGAGCCCCGCAGUAUAGCUAGCUGACACCAGAGUAUAGUACUUUACUAUUUUGAGUUUAUGUAGCAUCUAUUUCGAUGUACAGGGACAUGUAAAUGUAUGUAUUAAACAGCAUGUAAAUAACUAAAUGUUUCUGUUAUGUAAAGUUUUAAAUUACAGUGAA